rnacentral:tRNA from 1 species
AGUAAAAUGGCUGAUUUAGGCAAUAAAUUGUAAAUUUAUUUAAAAAUAGAAAUAUUUUUUUACUA